GAUCGGUGUUCAACCGAUGGGAGUUUGAGGAAAUAACAGGCCUGUGAUGCACUUAGAUGUACUGGGCCGCCGCGCGCUAUACUGAUGAAAUCAUCGAGUCCAUUUCCUUGAUCGGAAGACAUGGGUAAUAUUUUGAAACGUCAUCGUGCAGGGGAUAGAUCAUUGCAACCAUUGCUCUUCAACGAGGAAACCCUAGUAACUACAAGUCAAUAGCUUGUGUUGAUUACGUGCCUGCCCUUAGUACACACCCCCCGUCGCUGCUACCGAUUUAAUGGCUUAAUGAGGCCUUUGGAUUGAAAAUCGGAGACUCGCAACAGACGCUUGGUUUUUAAAAGUUGGCCAAACUUGGACAUUUAGAGAGAAGUAAAAAUCGUAACAAGGUUUCCGUAAGUGAACCUGCGGAAGGAUCGUUACCGAUUCUAGCGAACCUAACCUUUGGUUAUGGUCUCGCGAAAACUUGGUAUUUAAAACCCCACAUCAUAUAAAUUGAAUCAUUCAUUAUUAUGUAUUAUAAAAUAGAUCACUUUCAACAACGGAUCCCUUGGCUCUCGCAUCGAUGAAGAACGUAGCGAAGUGCGACAAGUAGUGUGAAUUGCAGAUUUCCGUGAAGCAUCGAAUCGUUGAACGCAAAUUGCACUCUCUUCGGAGAGUAUGCCUGUGUGAGGGUCAGUAUUAAUAAAAAUCGGUGUCUUGCUCCUUUGUGACGCUCUGGAGUUUGGAUCAUCUUAAUAUCCUUUAGGUUUUAAAAGGCUUAAAAUUUAAUCUUUUUCUGCGCAUUUGUAGAUGUACAUAAAUUUUUAUUUUAUUCGUCUGUCUUAAUGCUCAAAAUUCUAUUAGAUCCGAUCAUAUCAUGUGGUUUCAAGUAAAAGACGUAACAAGGU
rnacentral:rRNA from 1 species